rnacentral:lncRNA from 1 species
AUCCAGCAGAGACCUCAUUAAGGGCAUCUGUUCAGUAAUUACUACAAGUUUCCCUUCAUCACGCAUCCAAAUUUGAAAACAGCCAUACCGCAGAACUCCAAUGCCUGAUUCACAGAGGGCUUUAAUCUUCCAUUUCUGUAGCGCUCAGACUGACUGCGACCAGAGGACCAGGGUCAAGUUUUGGUGCAGUCAGUAAAUACUACCUUGAUCAACAGGGACCAGGGCGGGAAGAAGCAUCCCGAGGACAUUUAUUAACACCAACAAAGACUAGAGCCUCAAGGUGUUUAACUAAGCCAGCCCUGUUGCUGCAGCGUUUGAGAACCACUGACGUGGCUGAUUCCUCUUCUUUAAAACUCCAUUCGAAAACUUUCAUACAUCACUGGUGGAAUCAUAAAAUGGCGCAGACACUUUGGAAAAGUUUGGCAGUUCCCUAAAUGUUAUACAAUAAUUUACCAUACAACCCAACAAUCCCACUCCUAGGAACCUACCCAAGAGACUUAAAACAUAUGUCCACACAAAGACAUGUAUGUAAAUAUUUAUAGCAGCAUUAUUCAUAAUAACCAAAAACUGGAAACAACCUGUGUCCAACAAUUAGUUAAUGGAUAAACAAAUGUAUAUGUUCACAUAAUGGAAUAUUAUUCAAAAUAAAAUAGAAUGAAGUACUUAUACAUGGUGAUGAUUGCAUAACUGUAAACUCACUAAAACUUGUUGAAUUGUACUCUUAAAAUGGGUAAAUUUUAUGAUAUGUAGAUUACACCUCAAUAAAGCUGAAGAAAGGGAAAAGAAAGGGAGAAAAGGAAC